rnacentral:rRNA from 1 species
GAGUAAUGUCUGGGAAACUGCCUGAUGGAGGGGGAUAACUACUGGAAACGGUGGCUAAUACCGCAUAACGUCGCAAGACCAAAGAGGGGGACCUUCGGGCCUCUUGCCAUCAGAUGUGCCCAGAUGGGAUUAGCUAGUUGGUGAGGUAACGGCUCACCAAGGCGACGAUCCCUAGCUGGUCUGAGAGGAUGACCAGCCACACUGGAACUGAGACACGGUCCAGACUCCUACGGGAGGCAGCAGUGGGGAA